rnacentral:rRNA from 1 species
GAGUUUGAUCAUGGCUCAGGAUGAACGCUAGCGGCAGGCCUAACACAUGCAAGUCGAGCGGGAUUAGAUUUUAGCUUGCUAUGAUCUAUGAGAGCGGCGCACGGGUGCGUAACGCGUAUGCAACCUACCCUUUGCUGGGGGAUAGCCCGGAGAAAUUCGGAUUAAUACCCCAUAGUAUCACUGAUUCGCAUGUUUUAGUGAUUAAAGGUUACGGCAAAGGAUGGGCAUGCGUCCCAUUAGCUAGAUGGUGAGGUAACGGCUCACCAUGGCGACGAUGGGUAGGGGGCCUGAGAGGGUGGUCCCCCACACUGGUACUGAGACACGGACCAGACUCCUACGGGAGGCAGCAGUGAGGAAUAUUGGUCAAUGGGCGCAAGCCUGAACCAGCCAUGCCGCGUGCAGGAAGACGGUCCUAUGGAUUGUAAACUGCUUUUAUUUGGGAAUAAACUCCGGUACGUGUACCGGCCUGAAGGUACCAAAUGAAUAAGCACCGGCUAACUCCGUGCCAGCAGCCGCGGUAAUACGGAGGGUGCAAGCGUUAUCCGGAAUCCUUGGGUUUAAAGGGU